rnacentral:tRNA from 1 species
UUCCGGGUGGCUCAAUGGUAGGGCGUCUCCCUCCUAAAAUACGAAAUAGUGUUUGAAGAGAAGCAAGGAGAAGAUUGCGGGUUCGAGUCCCGUCCUGGAAG